rnacentral:lncRNA from 1 species
AUAAUGUUUGGGACGUGAUCCAUGUUUCAGUCAAAGUCCAUAAUUUAAUCCUUUUUUUUAGUUUUCAAUCUUGUUUGAAAGAUGGAUUCGAAUUUCUAUUUUUUAUUUGAGGUUGAUUUGACUUUCGAAAAAGCACCACCCGUCAUCUAUAAUUAGAAUCAUUUGAGAGUGAAUUAUUAAUGCUAGUAGGUUUUUGUCUUUGAGAAACAUUAGCAUAUAAGAAAUCAGAUUUAUUUGCGAGAGUUUUCACCAAAGAGAAGAGAGAAAGAGAGUUCUUUUGCUGCAGAUUUUGCUCUCCAACCAGCCACCUCCAGAUCGCGUUUGUCAACGCGUUUACCAUUGGAUUGGACUGAAAUUUUGAGUGAGUGUUCCUAAUAUCUUGGUAUUGAUUUGAAUGAUAGAGAUCAGAUUUGGAGGUCUGCAAUAUCUGGUUUUUGAGUCCUGAAUAACAUCACUAUUUUGGAUGAUUUCUCAUGAUUUAUUUUUA